CUCAUAGGUGGGAACUGAACAAUGAGAACACAUGGACACAGGGUGGGGAACAUUUAAAUAAAUAUUUGUUGUAUGAAGACAUUAAUAAAUGGCAUCAAUGAACAAAUAGAAGCUUGCUUAAAAUGUAUAGAUAAUGUAGUUUGUAAGUACUGAAUUUUUUUUUUUUUUUCUUUGUGAGACAGAGUUUCGCUCUGAGUGCAGGCUAGAGUGCAGUGGCAUGAUCUCGGCUCACUGCAAGCUCUGCCUCCCAGGUUCAUGCCAUUCUCCUGCCUCAGCCUCCCGAAUAUCUGGGACUACAGGUGUCCACCACUAUGCCUGACUAAUUUUUUGUAUUUUUAGUAGAGACAGGGUUUCACCGUGUUAGCCAGAAUGGUCUCGAUUUCCUGACCUCGUGAUCCACCCACCUCGGACUCCCAAAGUGCUGAGAUUACAGGCGUGAGCCAAAGUGCUGGGAUUACUUGGCCUGGCCAAGUUACUGAAAUUUUUAAGAAGGGGAUGAGAAUAAAUAUCAGCUA
rnacentral:lncRNA from 10 species